GGGGUCUUGGCCUAGUGGUUAAGGCAUCCGAGUAGCACCUCUCAGGUCCUCGGUUCGACUCCCGAGGCGUCA